CAAUAGCGUAUACUAAAGUUGUUGCAGUUAAAAAGCUCGUAGUUGGAUUUUGGAUCGGUGUCAUUGGUCCGCUAGGCUUGGCCUAGACGUGUAUCGAUUGUACCGGUCUUCUGUUUGGGAACUUCUUCUGUUCUUCACUGAGUGGUAGUAGGGACCAGGCCGUUUACCUUGAAGAAAUUGGAGUGCUUAAAGCAAGCCAGUGCGAUUGAACAUAUUAGCAUGGAAUAAUAAAAUAAGACUUUGGUCUUAUUUUGUUGGUUUCCGAGACCAGAGUAAUGAUUAAUAGGGAUAGUUGGGGGCAUUAGUACCUGGCAGUCAGAGGUGAAAUUCUUAGAUUUGCCAGAGACUAACUACUGCGAAAGCAUUUGCCAAGGAUGUUUUCAUUAA
rnacentral:rRNA from 1 species